AGUCUCCCGCGAUUCCCAGUUAGCCUGAGGAAUAAAAGAUGGUCACCUCGUACCCAGCUCGCUGCACGGAUCAGAUUCAGAGUGAAACUGAGAAGUGAUUUUCACGUGGACUACAUGAUCUCUCUCAACAUGAGUUGAGAGAGUUGAAGAGAAGGGGGUGGCUUGGUGGGUUUGGAUGGGCAUAGCAGUUGCUCUUUCAUUCUCCAGCAAAUACACAGAAGUGCAAACUAUUUGCAGCACUGCCCUGACCACCUCGGAGUUGCCACAUGAAGGUGUCGGUGCUCACAAACUGGAAUGAGCCUGUGGCCUUGCUUUCUAGAUCCGCAUGGAACAGUUGGCUGAAGAACCCCUGCCCCAGAAGACUAAUGUUAGAAAUAAGAGAAAAAGUGCACAUAAAACAGACUCUAUGAAGGAUUACCGAGCUUCGUGAGG